rnacentral:rRNA from 1 species
GAUGAACGCUGGCGGCGUGCCUAAUACAUGCAAGUCGAGCGAACGGACGAGAAGCUUGCUUCUCUGAUGUUAGCGGCGGACGGGUGAGUAACACGUGGAUAACCUACCUAUAAGACUGGGAUAACUUCGGGAAACCGGAGCUAAUACCGGAUAAUAUUUUGAACCGCAUGGUUCAAAAGUGAAAGACGGUCUUGCUGUCACUUAUAGAUGGAUCCGCGCUGCAUUAGCUAGUUGGUAAGGUAACGGCUUACCAAGGCAACGAUGCAUAGCCGACCUGAGAGGGUGAUAGGCCACACGGGAACUGGGCCACGGUCCAGACUCCUACGGGAGGCAGCAGUAGGGAAUCGUCCGCAAUGGGCGAAAGCAUGACGGAGCAACGCCGCGUGAGUGAUGAAGGUCUUCGGAGCGUAAAACUCUGUUAUUAGGGAAGAACAUAUGUGUAAGUAACUGUGCACAGCUUGACGGUACCUAAUCAGAAAGCCACGGCUAACUACGUG